rnacentral:sRNA from 1 species
AUAUUAUAAAUUUAUCAUAAUAUAUUGUAUUUUUAUUUCUUUUAAUAGUAAUAUAUUAUAUUUAUUUUGGUUAUUUUUUAUUUAAUUACUAUCGCAUCCGCUGGUUUACCAGUCAAACCCCGCAAACGCACCCAUUAUCAAACGCUCAACCAGUCGUUCAAAACUCUUGAUAACGCUUAAAACCGCAACCGUCCGUUUCCGCAAACUCCCGCAAUCGCAACCGCAUCCGCUGUGUUUAAACCAGUCAGGCCCUUAAUUUGGAAAUGUCGUUUGCUAAGAUUAUUUUUCUUUAAAUCGAUCUGUAUAUGAAAGAGUAUGCACGUCUCAAAGUGUUUAGGAAGAUAUUUUCAAGAGGAAAGGCAUUAAACAAAAAGAGAGUCAUAAGGAUAUUUCAAAGAUAUGAUAA